rnacentral:lncRNA from 1 species
CUUAAGGACAUGAAAGGAAGAGAGAAAAGUUCUCUUAUGCAUGAAAAAUUGAGAAGAAAGGGUUCUUCUCUUGAUCUCUAUUGUAGAGAUGAUGCAUGGAUACAGAAAGAAAAAGAGAGGGUCUCUUUAUUCUUCAUCUUCAUCAUGUUCUUCUUAGAUCAGUCAAAGGAUGGUGUCUUCGUAAGCUAGCACUCUCGGAAAGAUCGAUCAGCACAAGAGCUUCGUGUGGAUAUCCAUAAAGGUCGGAUGUGUGUGCGACUAUCAAGCAUCAUGAAGAAUCAAGUACUAUAAAUUUUAGAUAUGGUGAUCUACUACCCACAC